GAAAGUCGGGCUUAGUGAUCCCACGGUACCGGGUGGAAGGGCCGUGGCUUACCGGAUAAAAGCUACCCCGGGGAUAACAGGGUAGUCUGGUCCAAGAGUUCACAUCGACGACCAGGUUCGCCACCUCGAUGUCGGCUCGUCACAUCCUGGGGCUGGAGUAGGUCCCAAGGGUUGGGCUGUUCGCCCAUUAAAGUGGCACGCGAGCUGGGUUCAGACCGUCGUGAGACAGGUCGGUCUCUAUCCGCUGCGGGCGUAGGUGACUUGAGGAGAGCUGCCCCCAGUACGAGAGGACCGGGGUGGACCGACCUCUGGUGUGCCAGUUGUUCCGCCAGGAGCAUCGCUGGGUAGCUAUGUCGGGCAGAGAUAACCGCUGAAAGCAUCUAAGUGGGAAACUCGCUCCAAGAUGAGGUCACCCACCGGGUUAACCGGGUAAGGCCGCGGGAAGACGACCCGCUUGAUAGGCGGCAAGUGUAAGCGUAGCAAUACGUUGAGCUAAGCCGUACUAAUGGCCGAGGGCUUAUUCAC
rnacentral:rRNA from 1 species